AUUGUAGUUCAAUUGGUUCGAGCAUCGCCCUGUCAAGGCAAAAGUUGCGGGUUCGAGUCCCGUCAGUCC
rnacentral:tRNA from 1 species